GAAAAAACGUUGAAGCCAGAUGAAAGCUCCAAGCGUACGUACAGACAAUUAGAUCACAGGGGGUGCACUUGAAGCUUCUAGAUCUCAGGUCAUCACACUCUUCUGAUAGAGAAUGUCUGCAGUUGAGAAGCCAUGAGACUUCCCUUUGGCCUGGCCUGGUUGCCACAUGGAAGUGGCCUGAGUAAAUGCUCCUUGAGGGGAAAAAGAAAACAAGAAAGAAAGAAAAGCAAGAAGCAGGAGGGGACACAAAUGCCCCAGCUACAAAACAAGGGUGAAGAAGAAAGAUAUAAGCUAGGUAUAAACUGUGAUAACUCUGAAUUGGACUUCUUCAGACUGAAGUUAAUGUGCAUGAACAAAAUCGUUACCAGGCUGUUCAUUCAGACACAGAAACCCUGA
rnacentral:lncRNA from 1 species